rnacentral:rRNA from 1 species
GGUUAAGCGACUAAGCGUACACGGUGGAUGCCCUGGCAGUCAGAGGCGAUGAAGGGCGUGCUAAUCUGCGAUAAGCGCCGGUAAGGUGAUAUGAACCGUUAUAACCGGCGAUACCCGAAUGGGGAAACCCAGUGUGACUCGUCACACUAUCAUUAACUGAAUCCAUAGGUUAAUGAGGCGAACCGGGGGAACUGAAACAUCUAAGUACCCCGAGGAAAAGAAAUCAACCGAGAUUCCCCCAGUAGCGGCGAGCGAACGGGGAGGAGCCCAGAGCCUGAAUCAGCAUGUGUGUUAGUGGAAGCGUCUGGAAAGGCGCGCGAUACAGGGUGACAGCCCCGUACACAAAAGCGCAUGUGCUGUGAGCUCGAUGAGUAGGGCGGGACACGUGGUAUCCUGUCUGAAUAUGGGGGGACCAUCCUCCAAGGCUAAAUACUCCUGACUGACCGAUAGUGAACCAGUACCGUGAGGGAAAGGCGAAAAGAACCCCGGCGAGGGGAGUGAAAAAGAACCUGAAACCGUGUACGUACAAGCAGUGGGAGCCCCACCACUAAGCCAGUGGUGAACUCCACAUACGCAUCCUUUGCUGAGGAUACGGUUAACGGAGCGAAAGCGACGUUCAACCGCAAAAGAAGCAGAGGGGGCUUAGUGGUGGGGUGACUGCGUACCUUUUGUAUAAUGGGUCAGCGACUUAUAUUCUGUAGCAAGGUUAACCGCAUAGGGGAGCCGGAGGGAAACCGAGUCUUAACCGGGCGUUAAGUUGCAGGGUAUAGACCCGAAACCCGGUGAUCUAGCCAUGGGCAGGUUGAAGGUUGGGUAACACUAACUGGAGGACCGAACCGACUAAUGUUGAAAAAUUAGCGGAUGACCUGUGGCUGGGGGUGAAAGGCCAAUCAAACCGGGAGAUAGCUGGUUCUCCCCGAAAGCUAUUUAGGUAGCGCCUCGUGAAUUCAUCUCCGGGGGUAGAGCACUGUUUCGGCUAGGGGGCCAUCCCGGCUUACCAACCCGAUGCAAACUGCGAAUACCGGAGAAUGUUAUCACGGGAGACACACGGCGGGUGCUAACGUCCGUCGUGAAGAGGGAAACAACCCAGACCGCCAGCUAAGGUCCCAAAGUCAUGGUUAAGUGGGAAACGAUGUGGGAAGGCCCAGACAGCCAGGAUGUUGGCUUAGAAGCAGCCAUCAUUUAAAGAAAGCGUAAUAGCUCACUGGUCGAGUCGGCCUGCGCGGAAGAUGUAACGGGGCUAAACCAUGCACCGAAGCUGCGGCAGCGACACUAUGUGUUGUUGGGUAGGGGAGCGUUCUGUAAGCCUGUGAAGGUGGCCUGUGAGGGUUGCUGGAGGUAUCAGAAGUGCGAAUGCUGACAUAAGUAACGAUAAAGCGGGUGAAAAGCCCGCUCGCCGGAAGACCAAGGGUUCCUGUCCAACGUUAAUCGGGGCAGGGUGAGUCGACCCCUAAGGCGAGGCCGAAAGGCGUAGUCGAUGGGAAACGGGUUAAUAUUCCCGUACUUGGUGUUACUGCGAAGGGGGGACGGAGAAGGCUAUGUUGGCCGGGCGACGGUUGUCCCGGUUUAAGCGUGUAGGUGUGUGUUCCAGGUAAAUCCGGUUCACUUUAACACUGAGGCGUGACGACGAGGCACUACGGUGCUGAAGCAACAAAUGCCCUGCUUCCAGGAAAAGCCUCUAAGCAUCAGGUAACACGAAAUCGUACCCCAAACCGACACAGGUGGUCAGGUAGAGAAUACCAAGGCGCUUGAGAGAACUCGGGUGAAGGAACUAGGCAAAAUGGUGCCGUAACUUCGGGAGAAGGCACGCUGACACGUAGGUGAAGUGAUUUACUCAUGGAGCUGAAGUCAGUCGAAGAUACCAGCUGGCUGCAACUGUUUAUUAAAAACACAGCACUGUGCAAACACGAAAGUGGACGUAUACGGUGUGACGCCUGCCCGGUGCCGGAAGGUUAAUUGAUGGGGUCAGCGCAAGCGAAGCUCCUGAUCGAAGCCCCGGUAAACGGCGGCCGUAACUAUAACGGUCCUAAGGUAGCGAAAUUCCUUGUCGGGUAAGUUCCGACCUGCACGAAUGGCGUAAUGAUGGCCAGGCUGUCUCCACCCGAGACUCAGUGAAAUUGAACUCGCUGUGAAGAUGCAGUGUACCCGCGGCAAGACGGAAAGACCCCGUGAACCUUUACUAUAGCUUGACACUGAACAUUGAGCCUUGAUGUGUAGGAUAGGUGGGAGGCUUUGAAGUGUGGACGCCAGUCUGCAUGGAGCCGACCUUGAAAUACCACCCUUUGAUGUUUGAUGUUCUAACGUGGACCCGUGAUCCGGGUUGCGGACAGUGUCUGGUGGGUAGUUUGACUGGGGCGGUCUCCUCCUAAAGAGUAACGGAGGAGCACGAAGGUUGGCUAAUCCUGGUCGGACAUCAGGAGGUUAGUGCAAUGGCAUAAGCCAGCUUGACUGCGAGCGUGACGGCGCGAGCAGGUGCGAAAGCAGGUCAUAGUGAUCCGGUGGUUCUGAAUGGAAGGGCCAUCGCUCAACGGAUAAAAGGUACUCCGGGGAUAACAGGCUGAUACCGCCCAAGAGUUCAUAUCGACGGCGGUGUUUGGCACCUCGAUGUCGGCUCAUCACAUCCUGGGGCUGAAGUAGGUCCCAAGGGUAUGGCUGUUCGCCAUUUAAAGUGGUACGCGAGCUGGGUUUAGAACGUCGUGAGACAGUUCGGUCCCUAUCUGCCGUGGGCGCUGGAGAACUGAGGGGGGCUGCUCCUAGUACGAGAGGACCGGAGUGGACGCAUCACUGGUGUUCGGGUUGUCAUGCCAAUGGCACUGCCCGGUAGCUAAAUGCGGAAGAGAUAAGUGCUGAAAGCAUCUAAGCACGAAACUUGCCCCGAGAUGAGUUCUCCCUGAGACUUUAGGUCUCCUGAAGGAACGUUGAAGACGACGACGUUGAUAGGCCGGGUGUGUAAGCGCAGCGAUGCGUUGAGCUAACCGGUACUAAUGAACCGUGAGGCUUAACCUU